AUUGAACGCUGGCGGAAUGCUUUACACAUGCAAGUCGAACGGCAGCACGGACUUCGGUCUGGUGGCGAGUGGCGAACGGGUGAGUAAUGUGUCGGAACGUGCCCAGUCGUGGGGGAUAACGUAGUGAAAAUUACGCUAAUACCGCAUACGAUCUAUGGAUGAAAGCGGGGGACCGCAAGACCUCGCGCGAUUGGAGCGGCCGAUAUCAGAUUAGGUAGUUGGUGGGGUAAAGGCCCACCAAGCCAACGAUCUGUAGCUGGUCUGAGAGGACGACCAGCCACACUGGAACUGAGACACGGUCCAGACUCCUACGGGAGGCAGCAGUGGGGAAUUUUGGACAAUGGGCGAAAGCCUGACCCAGCCAUUCCGCGCGCAGGAUGAAGGCCCUCGGGUUGUAAACUGCUUUUGUACAGAACGAAAAGGUUUCUACUAAUACUAGGAGCUCAUGACGGUACUGUAAGAAUAAGCACCGGCUAACUACGUGCCAGCAGCCGCCGUAA
rnacentral:rRNA from 1 species